AUGUGUAUUUAUACUACCACAGUACCCUCUGAUGUGUGUAUUUAUACUACCACAGUACCCUCUGAUAUGUGUAUUUAUACUACCACAGUACCCUCUGAUAUGUGUAUUUAUACUACCACAGUACCCUCUGAUAUGUGUUUUUAUACUACCACAGUACCCUCUGAUAUGUGUAUUUAUACUACCACAGUACCCUCUGAUAUGUGUAUUUAUACUAACACAGUACCCUCUGAUAUGUGUAUUUAUACUACCACAGUACCCUCUGAUAUGUGUAUUUAUACUACCACAGUACCCUCUGAUAUGUGUUUUUAUACUACCACAGUACCCUCUGAUAUGUGUAUUUAUACUACCACAGUACCCUCUGAUAUGUGUAUUUAUACUAACACAGUACCCUCUGAUAUGUGUAUUUAUACUACCACAGUACCCUCUGAUAUGUGUAUUUAUACUACCACAGUACCCUCUGAUAUGUGUAUUUAUACUACCACAGUACCCAACCCUCUGAUAUGUGUAUUUAUACUACCACAGUACCCUCUGAUAUGUGUAUUUAUACUACCACAGUACCCUCUGAUAUGUAUUUAUACUACCACAGUACCCUCUGAUAUGUGUAUUUAUACUACCACAGUACCCUCUGAUAUGUGUAUUUAUACUACCACAGUACCCAACCCUCUAAUAUGUGUAUUUAUACUACCACAGUACCCUCUGAUAUGUGUAUUUAUACUACCACAGUACCCUCUGAUAUGUAUUUAUACAACCACAGUACCCUCUGAUAUGUGUAUUUAUACUACCACAGUACCCUCUGAUAUGUGUAUUUAUACUACCACAGUACCCUCUGAUAUGUGUAUUUAUACUACCACAGUACCCAACCCUCUGAUAUGUGUAUUUAUACUACCACAGUACCCUCUGAUGUGUAUUUAUACUACCACAGUACCCUCUGAUAUGUGUAUUUAUACUACCACAGUACCCAACCCUCUGAUAUGUGUAUUUAUACUACCACAGUACCCUCUGAUGUGUAUUUAUACUACCACAGUACCCUCUGAUAUGUGUAUUCAUACUACCACAGUACCUUCUGAUAUGUGUAUUUAUACUACCACAGUACCCAACCAGGAGUCUCCUACAGAGCUCACAGUUCAUCACUGUCCUUUUCCUGGUGGGGAGAAGACCAGAAGAGGAUGA
ensembl:lncRNA